GAGCGAACUGCCCAAACGUUGUUCGGAAGUCAACUGGGCUUAAAGGGCGCGUAGGCGGCAGAUCAAGUCAAGGGGUGAAAUCCGGCAGCUCAACCUGUCGAAGGGCCUUUUGAAUACUGAUUUGCUUCGAGGGAUAUAGGGGGUCUGUGGAACUUCUGGUGGAGCGGUGAAAUGCGUUGAUAUCAGAAGGAACGCCGGUGGCGAAAGCGACGGACUGGAUAUCUUCUGACGCUGAGGCGACGAAAGGCUAGGGGGAGCAAACAGGG
rnacentral:rRNA from 1 species